UCAGUGGAUGUUAAUUUCUGG
rnacentral:piRNA from 1 species